GACGAACCGUGCGAACGUUGUUCGGAAUCACUGGGCUUAAAGGGCGCGUAGGCGGGCCGACAAGUCCGGGGUGAAAGCCCCCAGCUCAACUGGGGAAGCGCCUUGGAUACUUUUGGCCUGGAGGGAGGUAGGGGCGUGCGGAACUUCCGGUGGAGCGGUGAAAUGCGUAGAUAUCGGAAGGAACACCGGUGGCGAAAGCGGGUCUCUGGACAGUUCCUGACGCUGAGGCACGAAGGCCAGGGGAGCAAACGGG
rnacentral:rRNA from 1 species